UUAAGUUAGAAAGGGCGCACGGUGGAUGCCUUGACACUAGGAGUCGAUGAAGGACGGGACUAACGCCGAUAUGCUUCGGGGAGCUGUAAGUAAGCUUUGAUCCGAAGAUUUCCGAAUGGGGAAACCCACCAUACGUAAUGGUAUGGUAUCCUUAUCUGAAUACAUAGGGUAAGGAAGACAGACCCAGGGAACUGAAACAUCUAAGUACCUGGAGGAAGAGAAAGCAAAUGCGAUUUCCUGAGUAGCGGCGAGCGAAACGGAACAUAGCCCAAACCAAGAGGCUUGCCUCUUGGGGUUGUAGGACAUUCUAUACGGAGUUACAAAGGAACGAGGUAGACGAAGCGACCUGGAAAGGUCCGUCGUAGAGGGUAACAACCCCGUAGUCGAAACUUCGUUCUCUCUUGAAUGUAUCCUGAGUACGGCGGAACACGUGAAAUUCCGUCGGAAUCUGGGAGGACCAUCUCCCAAGGCUAAAUACUCCCUAGUGAUCGAUAGUGAACCAGUACCGUGAGGGAAAGGUGAAAAGCACCCCGGAAGGGGAGUGAAAGAGAUCCUGAAACCGUGUGCCUACAAAUAGUCAGAGCCCGUUAACGGGUGAUGGCGUGCCUUUUGUAGAAUGAACCGGCGAGUUACGAUCCCGUGCGAGGUUAAGCUGAAGAGGCGGAGCCGCAGCGAAAGCGAGUCUGAAUAGGGCGUUUAGUACGUGGUCGUAGACCCGAAACCAGGUGAUCUACCCAUGUCCAGGGUGAAGUUCAGGUAACACUGAAUGGAGGCCCGAACCCACGCACGUUGAAAAGUGCGGGGAUGAGGUGUGGGUAGCGGAGAAAUUCCAAUCGAACCUGGAGAUAGCUGGUUCUCCCCGAAAUAGCUUUAGGGCUAGCCUUAAGUGUAAGAGUCUUGGAGGUAGAGCACUGAUUGGACUAGGGGUCCUCAUCGGAUUACCGAAUUCAGUCAAACUCCGAAUGCCAAUGACUUAUCCUUAGGAGUCAGACUGCGAGUGAUAAGAUCCGUAGUCAAAAGGGAAACAGCCCAGACCGCCAGCUAAGGUCCCAAAGUGUGUAUUAAGUGGAAAAGGAUGUGGAGUUGCUUAGACAACUAGGAUGUUGGCUUAGAAGCAGCCACCAUUUAAAGAGUGCGUAAUAGCUCACUAGUCGAGUGACUCUGCGCCGAAAAUGUACCGGGGCUAAAUACACCACCGAAGCUGCGGAUUGAUACCAAUGGUAUCAGUGGUAGGGGAGCGUUCUAAGGACAGUGAAGUCAGACCGGAAGGACUGGUGGAGUGCUUAGAAGUGAGAAUGCCGGUAUGAGUAGCGAAAGACGGGUGAGAAUCCCGUCCACCGAAUGCCUAAGGUUUCCUGAGGAAGGCUCGUCCGCUCAGGGUUAGUCAGGACCUAAGCCGAGGCCGACAGGCGUAGGCGAUGGACAACAGGUUGAUAUUCCUGUACCACCUCUUUAUCGUUUGAGCAAUGGAGGGACGCAGAAGGAUAGAAGAAGCGUGCGAUUGGUUGUGCACGUCCAAGCAGUUAGGCUGAUAAGUAGGCAAAUCCGCUUAUCGUGAAGGCUGAGCUGUGAUGGGGAAGCUCCUUAUGGAGCGAAGUCUUUGAUUCCCCGCUGCCAAGAAAAGCUUCUAGCGAGAUAAAAGGUGCCUGUACCGCAAACCGACACAGGUAGGCGAGGAGAGAAUCCUAAGGUGUGCGAGAGAACUCUGGUUAAGGAACUCGGCAAAAUGACCCCGUAACUUCGGGAGAAGGGGUGCUUUCUUAACGGAAAGCCGCAGUGAAUAGGCCCAAGCGACUGUUUAGCAAAAACACAGCUCUCUGCGAAGCCGUAAGGCGAAGUAUAGGGGGUGACACCUGCCCGGUGCUGGAAGGUUAAGGAGAGGGGUUAGCGUAAGCGAAGCUCUGAACUGAAGCCCCAGUAAACGGCGGCCGUAACUAUAACGGUCCUAAGGUAGCGAAAUUCCUUGUCGGGUAAGUUCCGACCCGCACGAAAGGUGUAACGAUUUGGGCACUGUCUCAACCAGAGACUCGGUGAAAUUAUAGUACCUGUGAAGAUGCAGGUUACCCGCGACAGGACGGAAAGACCCCGUGGAGCUUUACUGUAGCCUGAUAUUGAAUUUUGGUACAGUUUGUACAGGAUAGGCGGGAGCCUUUGAAACCGGAGCGCUAGCUUCGGUGGAGGCGCUGGUGGGAUACCGCCCUGACUGUAUUGAAAUUCUAACCUACGGGUCUUAUCGACCCGGGAGACAGUGUCAGGUGGGCAGUUUGACUGGGGCGGUCGCCUCCUAAAGUGUAACGGAGGCGCCCAAAGGUUCCCUCAGAAUGGUUGGAAAUCAUUCGUAGAGUGCAAAGGCAUAAGGGAGCUUGACUGCGAGACCUACAAGUCGAGCAGGGACGAAAGUCGGGCUUAGUGAUCCGGUGGUUCCGCAUGGAAGGGCCAUCGCUCAACGGAUAAAAGCUACCCCGGGGAUAACAGGCUUAUCUCCCCCAAGAGUCCACAUCGACGGGGAGGUUUGGCACCUCGAUGUCGGCUCAUCGCAUCCUGGGGCUGUAGUCGGUCCCAAGGGUUGGGCUGUUCGCCCAUUAAAGCGGUACGCGAGCUGGGUUCAGAACGUCGUGAGACAGUUCGGUCCCUAUCCGUCGUGGGCGUAGGAAAUUUGAGAGGAGCUGUCCUUAGUACGAGAGGACCGGGAUGGACGCACCGCUGGUGUACCAGUUGUUCUGCCAAGGGCAUAGCUGGGUAGCUAUGUGCGGAAGGGAUAAGUGCUGAAAGCAUCUAAGCAUGAAGCCCCCCUCAAGAUGAGAUUUCCCAUAGCGUAA
rnacentral:rRNA from 1 species